CCUACGGGAGGCUGCAGUAGGGAAUAUUGCUCAAUGGGGGAAACCCUGAAGCAGCAACGCCGCGUGGAGGAUGAAGGUUUUCGGAUUGUAAACUCCUUUUGUUAGAGAAGAUAAUGACGGUAUCUAACGAAUAAGCACCGGCUAACUCCGUGCCAGCAGCCGCGGUAAUACGGAGGAUGCAAGCGUUACUCGGAAUCACUGGGCGGAAAGAGCGCGUAGGCGGGAUAGCAAGUCAGAUGUGAAAUCCUAUGGCUUAACCAUAGAACUGCAUUUGAAACUGUUAUUCUAGAGUAUGGGAGAGGUAGGUGGAAUUCUUGGUGUAGGGGUAAAAUCCGUAGAGAUCAAGAGGAAUACUCAUUGCGAAGGCGACCUGCUAGAACAUAACUGACGCUGAUGCGCGAAAGCGUGGGGAGCAAACAGGAUUAGAUACCCUGGUAGUC
rnacentral:rRNA from 1 species